CGAUGAAAACCAACAGUGUUUGUGUCAGAUCACAUGUAAUCAGCACAAAAAUGUAUCAGACAGGGAUAACUGUGUGAUAAUUUACAUUUCUCAUCACACACAACACUGUAUAGACCAACGAGAGGACAUCCCCAAAUUAGAGAAAAUAGUAAAUAAAGAAAAGCAAAACACGAAAAAAGCCUCAGACCGUCCUAGUUCAUAAAAUUAUUUCAACAUUUAUGCAAGCUUGUUGACUUGCAUUUCGGUUGAACUACAAAGAGUCAUCAAUGGCUUCAGGACUGAAAUCCACGAUUAAAUUACAAACCCAG
rnacentral:misc_RNA from 1 species